AUCAAUACGAUAUGUGAUAUCAUCAUCAAUAUACCUAUGUCCCUAGAUUAUAGAGAAAAGAUACUUGAAGUGAACUCUCUUAAAGUUAUCUUGUAUGUCAAGCCUCACUUCUUACUAAAUUUGCACUCCAAUACUCUAUUUUUGUCCUACUCAACAAGAACCCUUUAUCCUCCAUUAUUUGACUCCAUACCUAAAACUUGGACUUAACUCUAU
rnacentral:lncRNA from 1 species